rnacentral:piRNA from 1 species
UCCCAUACGUCUUUGCGAGUUUUCUGAUCGG